rnacentral:lncRNA from 1 species
UAGGCUUGGCGCUAUUACUUGCUUGUGUUGCUUUGCUCGGUGACAUGCGACCAAGAUGCAAAUGUCCUGAUGGAAAGUGGGGAGGGGAAGGAGACCAGGGCAAAAAAAACUCUUUUUUUCAGAUUAGUCUCAUCAUAGUACGAAACGCCACAUUAGCAUAGGGAUGAAUUUGAUUUGAAAAUGAAAGUUGAAGGAAUAAAUUGGUCGAUCUGAAAGUAAGGGACGAAUUUAACCCUUAUUGGAGGAAAGUUCGGGGGUCAAAACACCUAUUUUGUCAAUUUAAAAAGAAUGUAAGACUGAAACCCGAACUAGUUCGGGUCAAAACACCUAUUUUGUCAAUUUAAAAAGAAUGUAAGACUGAAACCCGAACUAGUUCCCUGCUUUGAUUUGAGAUGGAUGCAAGAUUCAAACCCGGGCCCAGAAACAACCUAAUGUAAAAAAUAAGAAACUUAUGGAAAAUGAAGAAGCGAGCAAGCCACAAUUAAGAUAGAUACAAAGAAAACUGCAUUACGCGCAAAACAGAAAACGAUAGGCCCUUUAAGCCGAUGCUAAUCCAACACAUACAUGGUUUUGUUCCUCUCCGACCACAUCUAAAAACCAGGCCGCCGCUGCCGUCAC